rnacentral:RNase_P_RNA from 1 species
UAUGCAAUGAGUUUAAGCUCAAAACAUCCUGCAAAUAUACAUACACAAAAUGAAAGAAAGAAAUAAAAAAGAAAAAAGAAAAAAUGGAAAAAUAGGUCACAUAUUUGUAUGUUUCUUGUUUUUCCAUUUUUUUUUUUUUUUUUUUUUUCCUUUUUCUUUCUCCUAAUUUGUGUAAUUUUUAUAAAAACAGGAAGGAAGGUCUGAGAUGCUGCAUUUAAAGAAUAGAAAAGAAAAGUCAAUGAAUUUUAAUUUUUUUUUUUUUUUUUUUUAUAAUUCUUAUGAAUUAAAAAGAAAGAAAAAAAAAGUUAUAACAUUCGUUGUUACUUUUUAUUUCACAUAUAUAUAUAUAUAUAUUCUUUAAUAAAAUUUUUGAGAGAAAAUGUAUUGAACAAAUAUUAAUUAGUUACCAGAAAUAUCAAUCAUAUAUUUAAAAUUUCGUAAGAAGUUUUGUGUAUGGUUUUGAAAAAGCUAAUAAGCAAGUAUACAUUGGUGAGUUCGAUUUUUGAGGUUUUUCUUUAUUCCUACAUCUCAUAUAUCAAUAUUUUUUUUAUAAUUAUAUAUUAUACGAGGUGAUAAUAAGAAAAAUAACUUAAUUCAGACUACUCCUAAAUUCAUUGCUGCAA